CCCCUGAAGAAUUCCAAGCUCAAAAUCCUUUACCCCUGAAGAAUUCCAAGCUCAAAAUCCUUUACCCCUGAAGAAUUCCAAGCUCGAAUCCUUUACCCCUGAAGAAUUCCAAGCUCAAAAUCCUUUACCCCUGAAGAAUUCCAAGCUCAAAACACUCUACCCCUGAAGAAUUCCAGGUAUCCUCGACAGGGGGGGGUACGGAUAUUAAAUGGAAUAGCCCAUUU